AAUUAAUUAAAACCCUAUAAUAUACCAUUACAUGCACGAAAGCCCUAGCAGCGAAAAGACAUCUGUAUCAGCAGCUGCUGGAGCGUAGCAGCAUCAACGGCAACCAUGGGGAAGUAUUCAAGGGAACCAGAGAACCCCACAAAAUCUUGCAAAGCUAGGGGUUCGGAUCUCAGAGUUCAUUUCAAGGUGUGUG